CCAAUUUAUUUUUGGUUUCGCGCUUCAGCUCUUUGUCUCCAGCUCGCGAUGGCUACCUCACCUUCCUCCACCUAUCUCGCCGACAACCACCUCUUCUCCUCACCAUGGCCACCUCUCUCCUCUUCUCCUUCUAUGACGGCACAUCGAUUCAUGCUUCGAUCUGCGAGCGCUUACAGAUUCAAGAGUUUUUUCCGUCUCAUCUCCACUACAUCACUCGUCAAAGAUUCAAAUCAAUCUCAUUCUCACUCCUCGGUCUUUACUCUCCCUUGCAGAUUACGGCCUCUCAAGUUUCUACUCCGAUUUGCUGCCAACUCUCUCUGUACAUGCGUCAUCUGCGCUACAGGCCCCUUGAAAUUAGGGCUUCAACUAAUCCAAUGUCUCUAUAAAUGACAGGCCUGUCCUGUUAAAGACUAAUACUUGGCAGUGGAAAUUCCAAGGCAAUAAUAUCAGUAUUAUUGUGAAGAGCAUGCAAGGAUGGCACUGAGUCUUCCCAGAAUAUAUUGCUUGUGUUAACCAUUUCUAAAUUUAGAUUAUGCAUUUAUUUAUGUGUGAUUAAAAAAAGAAGUAUGCCUAUUAUUCCUAGAAAAUGACUUCUUUUUUAUUUCCAAAUAUUGACUACUAGGAUGCUUGUGUGCUGUAUUUAAGAAAAGAAUGCUGGUAGGGGAAGUGUUUGUUCAUACUCAACUAUAACCAAUAUUAUAAUCACAUGCUUUAAGUUAGAUGUAAACCAAAUCAUGAAAAUCAUUCAGGGUUCUAAUUUAGUCAUUAGAACCAUCUAUAUUAUUUUCUUGAUUUGAAUAUUUCCCAAAUGAUCAUUCAAUCAAUUUUUUACUUGAUCUGCAGUGCAAAAAGAAUUUGAAGAAGUUCAAAGGGUGAAUUAGUGUUUGCAGCUGUUCCCCAGAAUAUGUGACAACAACAACAACAACAACAAGCCUUUAUCCCACUAGGUGGGGUCGGCUACAUGGAUUGCAAGACGCCAUUGUGCUCUAUCAUUUAUCAAGCUUUUAGGAAUAUUAUUAAUUAAGAGAUCACGUUCAACAACUUCCAAGAGUGUUUUCUUA